rnacentral:lncRNA from 1 species
CAUUUAAUUAGUAGAACCAAAAAAUUCCCUAUCCCUAUCAAUCAAAAUUACAAUUAACAAAACACAAAGUAAUACAUAAAGCAAUUUGGUCUGCACACUAAAUCUAUUUAUUCAGAACUAUACUCUAAUUUUACAGAACUGGACAAGCAGCCAAGAGAGAAAGCGAGAGUGAUCGAGAAGGGGGCAGGAGGAGAUUAAUCUUUCCAAAAGAGAGCACAGAAAUGGAGAAAUUAUUUCUAAAUUUUUGACAUUUAGCAUGAACACCUUCCAAAAAGACAAACACAGCUAGCCCAUCCGUCAGUAAAAAAAUGAGAAUACUGAGAGGCUAUUACAUUUCCGUCGGCGAACGGGCCACGACGGAGACCUUCUUGACGGCGAGGCAGACCGGGCACGCCUCCGCCCUCGGCUCGCACGGCCGGCACAGGCACAGGUGCCGGCAUGGCAGUAGCNN